rnacentral:rRNA from 1 species
UACGUAGGUGGCAAGCGUUGUCCGGAUUUACUGGGCGUAAAGAGCGCGCAGGCGGUCGGUCAAGUCGCGUGUGAAAGCCCCCGGCUCAACUGGGGAGGGUCACGCGAUACUGAUCGACUCGAAGGCAGGAGAGGGAAGUGGAAUUCCCGGUGUAGUGGUGAAAUGCGUAGAUAUCGGGAGGAACACCAGUGGCGAAGGCGACUUCCUGGCCUGUUCUUGACGCUGAGGCGCGAAAGCUAGGGUAGCAAACGGG